AACGAACGCUGGCGGCAGGCUUAACACAUGCAAGUCGAACGCAUCCUUCGGGGUGAGUGGCAGACGGGUGAGUAACGCGUGGGAACGUGCCCUUCAGUUCGGGAUAACCCAGGGAAACUUGGGCUAAUACCGGAUACGUGCGAGAGCAGAAAGAUUUAUCGCUGAAGGAUCGGCCCGCGUCUGAUUAGCUAGUUGGUGGGGUAAUGGCCCACCAAGGCGACGAUCAGUAGCUGGUAUGAGAGGAUGAUCAGCCACAUUGGAACUGAGACACGGCCCAAACUCCUACGGGAGGCAGCAGUGGGGAAUAUUGGACAAUGGGCGCAAGCCUGAGCCAGCCAUGCCGCGGGAGUGAUGAAGGCCUUAGGGUUGUAAAGCUCUUUCGUCCGGGACGAUAAUGACGGUACCGGAAGAAGAAGCCCCGGCUAACUUCGUGCCAGCCGCCGCCGUAA
rnacentral:rRNA from 1 species